UAUGGACUCAGACACAGGUGUGCAAUUUUAACUCCAUCAGAGCCUUAAAAGUUAGAUUUUUAUGAAUUAUCAUAUAUCCACCUUUUUCCUGACGAGCCUACUGUGUUUUGAAUUAUGGGUGACACUUCCGGUUUGGUGUUUUGUGACUCGGGUCCUUGACGUCCUGUUAAAGACUCGUUAUUUGAAGCUUUCUCUAAUUAAUCAGCUGCUGCGAGACGAGCUCUGGGAUAAUGAGGGUUUGUAUUAGUCAUUAGUCACUAAUAAUGGCAUCAUCAUCAUCACUAAUGGGCAAAGCGUCACACUCACAGCAGGGGAUGUGAUGACCAAUUAAACCACUGAAUCUACACAAUACAGCCACCAGCAAGAUCCGAGUAUUUCGUUCCAUCAGGCUGAAGAUAUUCCAAGACGUUCCCUGUGCUUUUACAAAACCUGAAACUUCCACGACGACAUCUGAUCUUUGUAAUCCAAGCAGUCUGAGUUGAAGUUCAGC